rnacentral:rRNA from 1 species
UUCGCAAUGCCCGAAAGGGUGACGAAGCGACGCCGCGUAGGUGAGGAAGGCCUUCGGGUUGUAAAGCCCUGUCAGGAGUUAAGAAAUGUAAGUGCGCUAAUAUCGCAUUUAUUUGACGAAGGCUCCAAAGGAAGUCACGGCUAACUCUGUGCCAGCAGCCGCGGUAAUACAGAGGUGGCAAGCGUUGUUCGGAAUUAUUGGGCGUAAAGAGCACGUAGGUGGGUUUGUAAGUCAGAUGUGAAAGCCUUCUGUUCAACGGAAGAAUUGCAUCUGAAACUGCGAGUCUUGAGUGUAGGAGGGGAGAAUGGAACUUCUGGUGGAGCGGUGAAAUGCGUAGAUAUCAGAAGGAACGCCGGCGGCGAAAGCGAUUCUCUGGCCUAUUACUGACACUCAGUGUGCGAAAGCUAGGGGAGCAAACGGGAUUAGAUACCCCGGUAGUCCUAGCCGUAAACGAUGGGCACUAAGUAGAGGGGUUUU